UACGUAGGGGGCAAGCGUUGUCCGGAUUUACUGGGCGUAAAGAGCGUGUAGGCGGCCAAGCAGGUCCGUUGUGAAAACUGGAGGCUUAACCUCCAGACGUCGACGGAAACCGCGUGGCUAGAGUCCGGAAGAGGAGAGUGGAAUUCCUGGUGUAGCGGUGAAAUGCGCAGAUAUCAGGAAGAACACCAAUGGCGAAGGCAGCUCUCUGGGACGGUACUGACGCUGAGACGCGAAAGCGUGGGGAGCGAACUGG
rnacentral:rRNA from 1 species